UCCCUGGUGGUCCAGUGGUUGAGAUUCUGCACUUCCACUGCAUGGGGCAUGGGUUCGAUCCCUGUUUGGGAAA
rnacentral:tRNA from 1 species